GACGAACCGUGCGAACGUUGUUCGGAAUCACUGGGCUUAAAGGGCGCGUAGGCGGACACUCAAGUCGGUGGUGAAAGCCUCCAGCUUAACUGGAGAAGAGCUGUCGAUACUGGGUGUCUCGAGGGGUGUAGGGGUCUGUGGAACUUUGGGUGGAGCGGUGAAAUGCGUAGAGAUCCAAAGGAACGCCGGUGGCGAAAGCGACGGACUGGACACCUUCUGACGCUGAGGCGCGAAAGCCAGGGGAGCAAAC
rnacentral:rRNA from 1 species